AUUGAACGCUGGCGGCAUGCCUUACACAUGCAAGUCGAACGGCAGCACGGGAGCAAUCCUGGUGGCGAGUGGCGAACGGGCGAGUAAAGUAUCGGAACGUGCCCAGUCGUGGGGGAUAACGUAGCGAAAGUUACGCUAAUACCGCAUACGAUCUAUGGAUGAAAGCGGGGGAUCGCAAGACCCCACGCGAUUGGAGCGGCCGAUAUCAGAUUAGGUAGUUGGUGGGGUAAAGGCUCACCAAGCCGACGAUCUGUAGCUGGUCUGAGAGGACGACCAGCCACACUGGGACUGAGACACGGCCCAGACUCCUACGGGAGGCAGCAGUGGGGAAUUUUGGACAAUGGGCGCAAGCCUGAUCCAGCCAUGCCGCGUGCAGGAUGAAGGCCUUCGGGUUGUAAACUGCUUUUGUACGGAACGAAAAGGUUUGACUUAAUACGUUGGACUCAUGACGGUACCGUAAGAAUAAGCACCGGCUAACUACGUGCCAGCAGCCGCAGUAAUAC
rnacentral:rRNA from 1 species